AUUGAACGCUGGCGGCAGGCCUAACACAUGCAAGUCGAGCGGAUGAAGGGAGCUUGCUCCUGGAUUCAGCGGCGGACGGGUGAGUAAUGCCUAGGAAUCUGCCUGGUAGUGUGGGAUAACGUCCGGACACGGGCGCUAAUACCGCAUACGUCCUGAGGGAGAAAGUGGGGGAUCUUCGGACCUCACGCUAUCAGAUGAGCCUAGGUCGGAUUAGCUAGUUGGUGGGGUAAAGGCCUACCAAGGCGACGAUCCGUAACUGGUCUGAGAGGAUGAUCAGUCACACUGGAACUGAGACACGGUCCAGACUCCUACGGGAGGCAGCAGUGGGGAAUAUUGGACAAUGGGCGAAAGCCUGAUCCAGCCAUGCCGCGUGUGUGAAGAAGGUCUUCGGAUUGUAAAGCACUUUAAGUUGGGAGGAAGGGCAGUAAGUUAAUACCUUGCUGUUUUGACGUUACCAACAGAAUAAGCACCGGCUAACUUCGUG
rnacentral:rRNA from 1 species